CGGGGACGGGGUGGAGUAAUGUUCGUAGGGAAAGUCGCCUAAUGGAGGGGGGUAACUGCUGGAAACGGUAGCUAAUACCGCAUAACGUCGCAAGACCAAAGAGGGGGACCUUCGGGCCUCUUGCCAUCGGAUGUGCCCAGAUGGGAUUAGCUAGUAGGUGGGGUAACGGCUCACCUAGGCGACGAUCCCUAGCUGGUCUGAGAGGAUGACCAGCCACACUGGAACUGAGACACGGUCCAG
rnacentral:rRNA from 1 species